ACAUGCUUACAACAUAACAUUAAUGCACCGAAUCCCAUUAGAACUUUGCAACUAAGCGCGCUCGGGCUAGAGUAGUAUUAGGAUGGGUGACCGCCCAGGAAGGCUUAUUAUUUUACAUGCC
rfam:Picea glauca, whole genome shotgun sequence.